rnacentral:rRNA from 1 species
AUUGAACGCUGGCGGCAUGCCUUACACAUGCAAGUCGAACGGUAACGCGGGGCAACCUGGCGACGAGUGGCGAACGGGUGAGUAAUGCAUCGGAACGUGCCCAGUAGUGGGGGAUAGCCCGGCGAAAGCCGGAUUAAUACCGCAUACGACCUAAGGGUGAAAGGGGGGGAUCGCAAGACCUCUCGCUAUUGGAGCGGCCGAUGUCAGAUUAGGUAGUUGGUGGGGUAAAGGCCUACCAAGCCGACGAUCUGUAGCUGGUCUGAGAGGACGACCAGCCACACUGGGACUGAGACACGGCCCAGACUCCUACGGGAGGCAGCAGUGGGGAAUUUUGGACAAUGGACGCAAGUCUGAUCCAGCCAUGCCGCGUGCGGGAAGAAGGCCUUCGGGUUGUAAACCGCUUUUGUCAGGGAAGAAAUCUUCUGGGUUGAUACCUCGGGAGGAUGACGGUACCUGAAGAAUAAGCACCGGCUAACUACGUGCCAGCCGCCGCGGUAA